rnacentral:pre_miRNA from 1 species
UAAUCUUUCGGAUCAUCGGUAUACCGAGCAAUUUUACUAGCUCGGUAGGAGAUUUUCCCUCUGUCGU